rnacentral:lncRNA from 1 species
UGUGGUGGAGGAAAACCGCCUUCUCCAUAUAUAACUGAAGCACAAAAAUAAAAUAUAUCUUUCAUUGCCAACGAACUUGAGAAAUGUAACAAACCAAAUACGUUUGGGGAAAUAUUUAUCUAACUUCGAUUGCUUUCAUCCUACAAAGUAUUAAUAGAAUAAGUAAACAUCUUCAAAAUUUGAGAAUAUGUUAAUCACAACACAAGUAAAGUCGAUUUGGGCUACAUGAAGAAGGAGAUCCUACUUUGGGCAAAAGAACUAAUUCUUCGAAAACCAUAAUUUAAACCAUUAACAAAGAGCUGAAAGAAGCCAAAAAAAAAAAUGCAAUAAUCUCAAACAACCCAGAAGUUAUAAAAGAAGAUAAAAGAAAACCAUAAAUCAACUUACCAAAGAAAAUCCCAAAAUAGAUCUCAAAAUUUAUGUGUCAAACAGAUAGUCCUCAAUCCGUAUUGAGUAUAAUGGCAUCUAUAGAAAUUAUAUAGAGAACGAGGGUUCACAAACAGUGGAAAUCGAUUCUUCAAGAUGCCAAGAGAAAUCACAGAGAGAACAAGGUUUACAUCGCAUAAAAUCGGAAGGAACUCAUUUGUAGAGUGAAAGAGAGAUGAUUGGGUGAUACAGCAAUGGAAUGUGUUCACCCUUUUUUAAAUAGAAAUGUGGACAACAUGUCG